rnacentral:tmRNA from 1 species
GGGGGCGAAACGGUCUCGACGGGAGAACAAGACGGAAAGACGCGUGCCGAGGCCCCGGUCCUCGUAAAAACUGGGAACAAGAAAAAAGCCAACACGGCACUCCCCCUCGCGGCCUAGCGGCCACGAGCGUCCGCCCAUCCUCGGUCUGUCGGGAUGGGGUCGGAUGUCAAAAAGAUAGACUGGUCCUGUGCGGCUCACUCGGUGCGGCACGUGGACGAGACAAUCCGGGAGCUCCCUUGGGCAGCCUGCUGAUCGGCGGCCCUUGGGUAAGACAAAUGACCAGCUACGCACGUAGUGUCUGAAGUUGAGUUCGCUCGGACCCGGGUUCGACUCCCGGCGCCUCCACUC